rfam:Triticum aestivum genome assembly, contig: Triticum_aestivum_CS42_TGACv1_scaffold_374482_5AL
GAUCUACUCCCUCCGUUCCGAAUUACUUGUCUUGGAUUUGUCUAGAUACGUCCGUAUCUAGACAAAUCCAAGACAAGUAAUUCGGAACGGAGGGAGUACACC